UCAAGUUUAUUUGAGCGAUCUGCUGUUG
rnacentral:sRNA from 1 species